GUGUUCAUGGAGGUAUUGGAUUACAACAUUGGAUGCACAAACAUUGCUUUCAUACACUUGGAAGAGCUCCUCAUUCAGUUCAGGGAAAUAUCAAAGUUAGGUGAUCUUGUCAGUAUGGAUGUGUGCAUGGAAAUCUUGGAUAUUCUGUAUGAGACUGAAGAUACCUCGUGGCUUUUUAACUUUGCCUGUCCACUGGCUGCUUCGACUCUUGUUACUGCGUACGUUAUCUCAGUUCCUAAGCAGAAAUGGGAGUUUCCAAUAAUUCCCUGGGGUAAGCCAUUAGAAGCACACUUCACCUUGUUUAUUCCAGUUCACUACUUCGUAUGCUGAAGAAGAGAUCUUGAAGAUUGUUAUGACAAUUCUCAUGCAUGUGAUCAAACCGGAUGAAAUCAAAGAGAAGAACAAGAGAGAUUUCAGUAUGUGAGGCUUGUGCAUCGGUGAUGUGUACAACACAACUGGCAGUGUCCAAAUUUUACCAAUUCCAGUUUACCACUUCAUAUGCUGAAGAAGAGAUCUCGAAGAUUGUUAUGACAAUUCUCAUGCAUGUGAUCAAACCAGAUGAAAGCAAAGAGAAGAACAAGAGAGAUUUCAGUAUGUGUACAACACAACUGGUAGUGUCCAAAUUUUACCAAUGUAAGUACUAACGACCUGCAACCAAAGUACAUAUGUAGAACAUAGGGCUGCUUGUUUGCAUCUGACCAUUUUUGAAUUUUGAUUUCCAAAACAUGCUGAGGAGUGAUGCUUGCUAAUUAAUUCUGUACAAAGUGGCCAAAGUAUUGAUGCUGGAUCUCUUCUGAGUUAUCCCCUCAUGUCAAUGCGGCAGUGGCACUUGGCAUUUUAUUUUACCUGAGGGUUACGAUAACAUUGAAAUCUCGCCAUCUUUUUUUUAUGUACAAUUGUAAACUACAUAUGAAAAUAACGGAGUU